UAAAAAACAUGAAACAUGAAAGAAUACACUAAAUUCAUAAUAACCAGUGGCAUCAAACCCGUUAGCCUUUGUUUCGCGCACCACUGCGUCAUACUUCAUACUUCAUUUCUCAUACUUCAUUUCUCUGCUUCAGACCCAAAUUCACAGAAGCACAUUUUUCAGCGUCUUCCUCGAGAGAAUUCGUCUCGCUCUCAAGAAAUCCUUCGCUCCAACCACAGAUUCACGUUUCCUCCGCACUGUUACAUGGAGGAUUCAGAGCAGAGGAAGAAAAGGCUGAGAGAAAUGCGCAUGCAAGCUGAUCAUGCUGAAGUUUCUGGUGCCAUGGAAGGUUCUGCUAUGCCCGGUUCUCUCUCAAAUCCCUUGAUUGAAGCUCCUUUAACUAUGCCAUCAUGGGAUAAAUCGUAUGCUGCUCCAAGGUUUGACUUUUAUACAGAUCCGAUGAGUGCCUUCUCUUCUAACAAAAGGAACAAUACUAGUAUCCAGGCUGCACCGGAUAGUUUCCCUCCAAAUGUUGGUUGCUCUCCUAUGGCACAGUAUUCAUCCCCACAUCCAGAAUCAACAAAUCCACGGAUGACUCUACCUCCUUUUCAAGUAUCAGCACCGGCAUAUGGAAACAUGGAUUUUAGUGGACCUAGAGGCCCUGCUCACGAUAACUUCCUAUUCCAUCCAUCAAGUGUUGGUAGACAUCCAAAUCCUAGAUUUGAACCAUCAGGUGGUCCAUUAUAUAACUCUACACAGGACAUAGCUCAUUGGGCCAGUUACAGUCCUAAUCCUUCUCCAGGGCACAUCAACAUUACAAGGCCCAGUAAGAAUCCCAAUCCUUCUCCAGGAUACAGCAAUAUUCAUAGGUCCAGUUACAGUCUCAAUCCUUCUCCAGGGUACAACAACAGUCCUAGGCCCAGUUACAGUCCCAAUCCUUCCCUAGGAUACAGCAACAGUCCUAGGCACAGUUACAGUCCUAAUCCUUUUCCAGGAUCUAGGCACAGUUACAGUCCCAAUCCUUCUAGGCCUGGUCAAGGGCGAGGGAGGGGUGAAUGGCACAACCCUGGUAGUUUUGUUUCAGGACGGGGUAGUGGACGAGGACCAAAUUUUCAUGGUCAUUUAUCCAACGAAAAAGCUGGUCUUGGUCCUAAUCGAUUUUACCAGAGCUCCAUGGUUGAAGAUCCAUGGAACCAUUUAGAGCCUAAAAUAUGGGAAGCAAUUGAUGGUUCUUUACAUUCUUCACGUAUACCUGAGAAAGUAAAACCUUGGAUUUCAAAAUCAAAGAGUACAAUAGGAGGGGGAUCAUCUGCUGCUUCUGUCAAGUUCUGUUCUGAACCAAGCCUUGCUGAAUACUUGGCUACUGCAUUCAAUGAAGCUGCCAACGAUGCAGAAAAUGUAUGAUGACAGCUACCCCUUACAUGAAGGGCCCAUCAUGACGUUACACACAGAGGAAUGAAUUUCCAGCCAGUGAAAAAACCAAAUAAAUUUCAAGUCAGUUCAUAGAUUAAUGCCAAGGAGGUACUAUUUGUACUAAAACACAAGAAAAUUUUUGGGAUGUGUUCGGUACUUGGCACGGUUUGAUAUGUUGGCGUCCAAUUAAUUGUGUACUAUCUAAAGUUGUACCGGUCCAGAUAAAAAGUCCAUUCAUAAUUUGUCUAGAAAGUAGAAACUGCAAAAUUAUAAUCACAUGUAAAGCGCUGGUAUCUAGUGAAAUCUCGGUCAAAUGCUUUAACUCAAGUGACAUGUGCAUGCCUAUACUGUGAUCCUGAUCACACAUUUCUACCCUAAAACGAUUUCCCCUCACACUGGGUCACCCAUUUAGCCUCUGCAGCACCCAAAAUCCCUGUGCUGCUGAACAGAGAAGCCUUGCAAAAGUACUCAGUUGAAGGGUGCAGGUUUUCUAACUUGAAUCUUUUCUCAGGCCUCAAGACGAUGAAGGUGGGUUGUUCAGGGUAGUCUGUAGUUGAUAUUCUGUGCCAAAGCCUGCAGCCUAGAAAGUUCUUUAAAAGUUUGUCAUCGUACUCCAGCACGAUAACCACUGAAGUAGAGGAAGACACUCUUCAAAACGAAUUGAACAUGCUGCCGAAUAAAGUCACCAGAAAAGUCAUAUCAGUAUGGAAACAGAGAAAAGGUCAGAAAACUUUGAAUCAAAACAUUCAAUUGCAGUUGAGCACAAUCUCUGAACCUCAGCACCACAUGAAAGCCGGCUUACAAUUCCACGAGUCAUCCUCGCAUAUACAUGAUCGAGUGAUCCCACUUCAUUCUCCAGUAACUUGAGAGCAGUUUCUACAAUCUUUUGCAGUUCCUUGUACAUUUCUGUUCCUAAAAGAAUUCUGUGAGCCAGGGAUAUUCGCAAAGACAGUAUAUCCAUUCUUCUUGCUUCUUUGGCAACCAAUAA